AUUUAGAACGUUUAUACAGAUAUAGUUUCUUGUAUGUCGAUUUAGCAAACCAAUGCCUUAAGCCACUCAGCCAUACAUAUCUCAAUGACUACUAUUGGGUUCAAGGGUACGGUUGGAUAUAAAAAGUUAGACAAGAACUGAACAAACUAAGCCCGGGCACCUGGGGAUGGACCAUAUUAUGGUGGUGGUAAUCAAGGCUUAAAUAAAUUACAGAAAGAGACAUACAUAUCUGCAGCGUACGGAACUAACUGAAAUAUUGGUCAUGUUUCUUUUGAAGGGAAUCAUUCCCUCGUACUUUUGAAGGAACAAGGCCCGAACUUGGACUAAAAUUAGCAAUCUGUUUUUUUUUCAUUAUUCAUGGAGGCAGUCUGGGGCUCUGGGCAUAUCCAAGGUGCUGCACAAAGCUACCAAUAUUCCCUUGAAAAGAACUUCUCCACCAUGGGAUGUCAAAUCAAGCAACAUACUGAUGGAUGCUGAUUGGGUGCCUAAGAUCACAGAUUUUGGCAAUGGGGAAGAUUGUAGAUGAUGAGGAUGCAGAUUCAAUGGUGUCCGUUGUUGUUGGCACCCUCGGCUGCAUUGCUCUAGAGCAUGGAUACAACACAAGAUUGACCGAGAAGAGCGAUGUAUACAGUGCAUUUGGUGCAUAUCACUGCAUUGUGAUGAACUGUCUGGAUGAGGAGAUCAUGUACUGGCACGGAGAUGAGCAGUCAAAAGCAUUGGACUUAUUAGAUCUGGCGAUGUCAUGCACACAAGUAGCUUUCCAGUCCAGGCCAUCCAUGAGGGAGGUGGCAAGCACCCUGAUGAGAAUAGAUGAUGAAUAUAACAAAUGAAGAGCUGUUCUCAAUAUAGAUUCUGUGAGGUGGGGUGUUCAAAUAAUGAGCUAUAGAAGUAAAAUGGAUAACACAGUUGUACAGUUGUUUCAAGUGUGCUGUGAUUAUUUAUUCACUACUGAGCGAGACAUCGACAAACUACGAAGUUGUACAGUUUGUUUCAAGUGUGCUGUGAUUAUUUCUUCAAGACUGAGCGAGACAUUGACAAACUGCAACUAACAAGCUUGCAGAACAUAUUAUUUUUAUUGUCA